AUUGAACGCUGGCGGCAGGCUUAACACAUGCAAGUCGAGCGGGGUGAUGGUGCUUGCACUAUCACUUAGCGGCGGACGGGUGAGUAAUGCUUAGGAAUCUGCCUAUUAGUGGGGGACAACAUCUCGAAAGGGAUGCUAAUACCGCAUACGUCCUACGGGGGAAAGCAGGGGAUCACUUGUGACCUUGCGCUAAUAGAUGAGCCUAAGUCGGAUUAGCUAGUUGGUGGGGUAAAGGCCUACCAAGGCGACGAUCUGUAGCGGGUCUGAGAGGAUGAUCCGCCACACUGGGACGGAGACACGGCCCAGACUCCUACGGGAGGCAGCAGUGGGGAAUAUUGGACAAUGGGGGGAACCCUGAUCCAGCCAUGCCGCGUGUGUGAAGAAGGCCUUAUGGUUGUAAAGCACUUUAAGCGAGGAGGAGGCUCUUUUGGUUAAUACCCUAAGAUGAGUGGACGUUACUCGCAGAAUAAGCACCGGCUAACUCUGUGCCAGCAGCCGCCGUAA
rnacentral:rRNA from 1 species